CCUACGGGAGGCAGCAGUGGGGAAUAUUGGGCAAUGGACGCAAGUCUGACCCAGCGACGCCGCGUGCGGGAUGAAGGCCUUAGGGUUGUAAACCGCUUUCAGCAAGGAAGAAGCGAAAGUGACGGUACUUGCAGAAGAAGCACCGGCUAACUAUGUGCCAGCAGCCGCGGUAAUACAUAGGGUGCAAGCGUUGUCCGGAAUUAUUGGGCGUAAAGAGCUCGUAGGUGGUUCGUNACGUCGGAUGUGAAAAUCUGGGGCUUAACCCCAGACCUGCAUUCGAUACGGGCGAGCUAGAGUGUGGUAGGGGAGACUGGAAUUCCUGGUGUAGCGGUGGAAUGCGCAGAUAUCAGGAGGAACACCAAUGGCGAAGGCAGGUCUCUGGGCCAUUACUGACACUGAGGANCGAAAGCGUGGGGAGCGAACAGGAUUAGAUACCCUGGUAGUCCACGCCGUAAACGGUGGGCNCUAGUUGUGGGAACCUUCCACGGUUUCUGCGACGCAGCUAACGCAUUAAGNGCCCCGCCUGGGGAGUACGAUCGCAAGAUUAAACUCAAAUAAUUACGG
rnacentral:rRNA from 1 species